rnacentral:rRNA from 1 species
UGGGGAAUAUUGCGCAAUGGCCGAAAGGCUGACGCAGCGACGCCGCGUGGGGGAUGAAGCAUUUCGGUGUGUAAACCCCUGUUGCUCGGGACGAACAAGCGGUUUCGACCGCUCUGACGGUACCGAGUGAGGAAGCACCGGCUAACUCCGUGCCAGCAGCCGCGGUAAUACGGAGGGUGCGAGCGUUGUCCGGAAUCACUGGGCGUAAAGGGCGCGUAGGCGGUCUGCUAAGCGUGCGGUGAAAGCCCGGGGCUCAACCCCGGGUCUGCCGUGCGAACUGGUGGACUAGAGCACUGUAGAGGCAGGUGGAAUUCCGGGUGUAGCGGUGGAAUGCGUAGAGAUCCGGAAGAACACCGGUGGCGAAGGCGGCCUGCUGGGCAGUAGCUGACGCUGAUGCGCGACAGCGUGGGGAGCAAACAGG